rnacentral:misc_RNA from 1 species
GAUGAAGAACGUAGCGAAAUGCGAUAACUAAUGUGAAUUGCAGAAUUCCGUGAAUCAUCGAGUCUUUGAACGCACAUUGCGCCCCCUGGUAUUCCGGGGGGCAUGCCUGUCCGAGCGUCAUUACAACCCUCAAGCCCGGCUUGUGUAAUGGGCGGCCGUCUCUCCCCCCGGGGGGAGACGCCCCCGAAACUCAGUGGGGAUGUCGCGAUACCGAAGCCUCAGCUAAUGGGUAAACCACAGCUGCAAUGGCCGCGGCCGGCGUCCGCCUUCCACGGUCCGUCCGCCUAGCGCGGGCGGCCUUCUCAAGGUUGACCUCGGAUCAGGUAGGGAUACCCGCUGUACUUAAGCAUAUCAAUAAGCGGAGGA